CUUUGUCUGCCAAGAUCUUAAGUUACAUCAAGAAAAGGUUGCAGUACUUACAUAUAAAGUUGUCAGUGCCUUAGUAUGUAGUAAUGUUUCUUUUUUUGUCAGACAUGCUUCAAAAUUUGUUAGGUCGACAGAAUCAGCUUGUUAAAAUUUUUACAUCAGCUGCAAGCAAUGCUACUUUGAGAACAAUUUGUCUGUAUAUCUUUGAAUUGGAUCAUGUAAUUGCAAUGGUUUCUGAUUUGUCAUAUAUUUUAGUGGCGAAUUUUAGUUUUGAGGCUAUUACACUAUUUCCGUUCCUCAUUCUUUGGUAUUUCUGGGUUUGUUUGUGCAGAUUCUAGUAUAAUGUUCUAUUAUUUCCAGGAUACAAUGUCAUAAUACUUUAUUACUCGUGGUUUUCUGGAUAGUGUUAUCUUUAUGGCAUGCUCCUUACGAAAAGCUAUCACAGUUUGCUCUGUCUUCCGAAAAAGCUAUUCUUCCAUUGUUGUUGUCGCUUCAAAUGCCAUCAGAUUGACCUACAAUAGCACAUAUGUGCCCCAAUAUUUGGGAACAGAGUUCUCAAUUUCAUAUGAAAACUAUAAACCAGGAGGUGUGAUGUUUUCUCGACAGUUCGGUUCCAGUAGAGAGUCAGAGACAUUAUCUUGGGGAGUGUCAUCUGACGUUGUUUUGCUGGGAAAGCUUGAAAGUGCAUUGAGGAAUCACAACUUGGAAGAGGCUUGGGAAACCUACAAAGAUUUCAAACGUCUUUACGGUUUUCCUAACCCCUUUCUUGUAGAUAAGCUUCUCACUGAGUUGUCAUACUCAUCUGAUUCUAGAUGGCUUAAAAGGGCAUGCAAUAUGGUAGGAUCUAUUUUGAAAGAGAAAAGGGAGAUGCUACGCACAGAGUUAAUGACCAAGCUCUGCCUAUCGUUGGCUAGAGCUCAAAUGCCCGUUCAAGCAUCAUCAAUUCUCAGACUGAUGUUGGACAAAGGAAAUCUCCCACCUAUUGACAUGCUAGGGAUGAUAAUGUUUCACAUGGUGAAGACUGAUACUGGAAUGAUUGUGUCAUCAAACAUUUUGAUUGAGGUAUAUGGUAGCUCUCAACAAUUAACCACAAAGAAAUCCACUUGCACUGAGUUAAAUAAACAUAAUACACUUCUUUUUAAUCUUGUUCUUGAUGCUUGUGCAAGAUUUGGAUCAUCCAGUAAAGGCCAUCAGAUUAUUGAGUUAAUGGCCCAAGUUGGAGUGACAGCUGAUGCUCAUACUAUUUCAAUUAUUUCCUUGAUCCAUGAGAUGAAUGGUCUGCGGGAUGAAUUAAAGAAAUUUAAGAAGCAUAUAGAUCAGGUUUCAGUUCCAUUGGUUUCCUGCUAUCAGCAAUUCUAUGAAAGUCUCUUGUGUUUACAUUUCAAGUUUAAUGAUAUUAAUGCUGCUUCUGAUCUUGUACAAGAUAUUUACGGAUUUCAAGUGUCACAUCACGAGCAGGGAAAUGUAACACAACCACCUAAACCGUGCCUUGUUGCUAUUGGCUCUGAUAAUCUGAGAACGGGAUUGAAGUUACGAAUUUUUCCUCAUUCAUUAUCAAGGGAUUCUGUUUUCAAUGUGGGACGUAAUCAGGUGCUUGUUAUGUAUAAGAAUGGGAAACUUGUCCUUAGCAACAGAGCAUUGGCCAAGCUUAUUAUACAGUACAAGAGGAGUGGGAGAAUUAAUGAUCUGUCAAAGCUUCUCUGUAGUAUCCAGAAGAAGGGCUCAGUUGAAUCUAGCAGAAUGUGUUCUGAUGUGGUUGCUGCUUGCAUUUGCAUGGGUUGGCUUGAAAUUGCUCAUGAUAUUUUGGAUGAUUUGGAUUCUGAAGGAAAUCCGCUGGACGCUAGUUCAUACGUGUCUCUGUUGACUGCAUAUUGCAACAAUAAUAAGCUAAGGGAGGCAGAGGCACUACUAAAGCAAUUAAGAAAAUCAGGUGUCAUAAAUGCAUCUGAUCCAUUGUUAGCUCCUGCAUCUAUGUGUGAACUGGAAACUGAAAGCAAGAAUAAGCUGAAAGAAUUAGGCUCUUUGGCGAAAGGGGAGCUGGCUUACCAUAUUGUUGAAGAAAUGAGAGCUGAAGAAAAUGAAGCUUCUUUUAUGAUGCAUGAUUUAAAUUUUUCUAUCUACUUUUUUAUGAAGGCUCACAUGGUUGAAGAUGCCGUUAGGGCUUACCGAAAAAUGCAGGCAAUGAAGAUCCAUCCUACAGUGUCAACUUUCAUGAAUCUGCUUAACGGGUAUUCUUCUUUAGGGAUGUAUCGUGAAAUUACAAUCUUGUGGGGAGAUAUUAAAAGGAACAUGGAAAGUCGUAAGAACUUGAAUACCAGGGAUUUAUACGAGUUCUUGCUGUUGAAUUUUCUUCGAGGCGGUUAUUUUCAUAGGGUGAUGGAGGUUAUUGGUUUAAUGAAAGAAAAUGGCAUGUAUUUGGACAAGUGGAUGUAUAGACGUGAGUUCUUGAAAUAUCACAAGGGUCUUUACCUAAGAAUAAAAGUAUCUGAUGCUAAAAAUGAUGUACAAACUCAGAGGAUUGAGCAUGUGAGGCACUUUAGGAAGUGGGUUGGCCUGGAUUAAUUCUUUUAGGUAUCAAGAAAUAUUCUUCUUGCACGCUGGGGAAAGAGUCAAGACAAUAUUGAGCCAUCCUUUGCCAAAUUUUGACAGGCUUCUCUCCAUUUUUGUCUACCUGAGAUGUGCAGUACAUCUGGGGUGGGGGGUCAUUGUUUCAUUGUAAAUUAUGUAUUUCACUCAAAGACAAAAAGUUCCAGGAAAGGACGUCUUUCUCUUCAGUUGUUCCAUUGGGUAUUGUAUCUAAUAGGCCAGUGCUCUUUAGCUUGUGUGGCAGAUUGUUGAAUUUGUGACUUUUGCAUCCACUCAGUGUUUGAUUUGUCAAGAAUAUUGAAGUUGGAAAUUAUAACAUUUAAAGGAUUAGGAAACUGUGUUCUGAUUGGCACUCCAGAUGUGAUUUUAUGCUCCUUGUCAGUCUUGAGUAGCUCUUUGGGUCGGAAUUGAUACUCCGACAUGCGUGGAUAUUGAAAAUUAUUCAUGGCUCCAGUGUCUACUCCAAGCCUGUAGCUUUCUGUCAUGGAAUUGAAAAAAGUUGCUAAGGAGAUAUUGGACCACUAGGUAUGUUUAGCCAGAACUGGCUCUAUCUGUACAUUCUCAUCGCUAUGUUAAGAUAUUUGUACGUUUUUAGCUAAUAUUCAGUUCUCCUAGUUCUUUAUUUUCAAAGAAAGUUUCCGUAUA